CCCUUAGAUGUUCUGGACUGCACGCGCGCUACACUGAAGCGUUCAACGAGUAUUCACCUUGCCCGGGAGGGUUGGGUAAUCUUUUGAAAACGCUUCGUGAUGGGGAUAGAUUAUUGCAAUUAUUAAUCUUCAACGAGGAAUUCCUAGUAAGCGCGAGUCAUCAGCUCGUGCUGAUUACGUCCCUGCCCUUUGUACACACCGCCCGUCGCACCUACCGAUUGAAUGGUCCGGUGAAAUCUCCGGACUGGCGUGAGUCGGAGCAAUCUGACAAACACCGGAAAGUUGAUUAAACCUUACCAUUUAGAGGAAGGUGAAGUCGUAACA
rnacentral:rRNA from 1 species